rnacentral:misc_RNA from 1 species
AUAUUUCUAAAUUGAUCAAUCCACAAACUGCAAUAACAAAAUUCCAUAAAGAAACUGUUUUUCAUCCUAUCUUCCAUCGUAACAAUUAAUCCCAUGACCAAAGUAGUCGGAAGGUGACAUGACAAGGUUUUUCAAACCAUUGAAUUUAGAUAAGAAGCCAAUUGAAGAAUCAAAUCAUUCAGGCUACAAAGAUGACCAAAGCUCAUAAGCACAAUGCAUGAUAAGAACACAACUAUGUUAGUUAAUAAUGAUAUAAAAUUCGAUAUAAAAUGUGUGCAUGCAUGCAUGCAUGCGAAGUGAGAGGAAAAACCAGAUUAUGCCUCCUAUUAAGCACUACCGUUUGUACAUUUGUGUGCAUUUGCAAAUGUUUGGGUGGAUUAAACAGUAUCUACCAUAGUUGUCAAAUCGAGAAUUGA